UCCGGCUUGUCGCCGGCAGUCUCCCUAGAGUGCCCAACUCAAUGCUGGCAACUAAGGACAAGGGUUGCGCUCGUUGCGGGACUUAACCCAACAUCUCACGACACGAGCUGACGACAACCAUGCACCACCUGUCUCCGCUGCCCCUUACGAGGAAGAUGCAUCUCUGCACCCGUCAGCGGGAUGUCAAGCCCUGGUAAGGUUCUUCGCGUUGCUUCGAAUUAAACCACAUGCUCCACCGCUUGUGCGGGCCCCCGUCAAUUCCUUUGAGUUUCAGUCUUGCGACCGUACUCCCCAGGCGGAGUGCUUAAUGUGUUAACUUCGGCACUAAAGGCGUCUAAGCCCCUAACACCUAGCACUCAUCGUUUACGGCGUGGACUAC
rnacentral:misc_RNA from 1 species